rnacentral:rRNA from 1 species
GCGCGAAACCUCUACAAUGCACGAAAGUGUGAUAAGGGAAUCCCAAGUGCUCAUGCUAUGCAUGGGCUUUUGCCAAGAGCAAAAACCUUGGCGAAUAAGUGGUGGGAAAGACUGGUGCCAGCCGCCGCGGUAACACCAGCGCCACGAGUGGGGAUCACUUUUAUUGGGCCUAAAGCGUCCGUAGCCUGUUCAGUAAAUCUUUUGUGAAAUCGUUGGGCUUAACCUAACGGCAUGCAGGAGAGACUGCUGAACUAGAGACCGGGAGGAGUUAGAAGUAUUCAGGGGGGAGCGGUAAAAUGCUAUAAUCCCCUGAGGACUACCUGUGGCGAAGGCGUCUAACUAGAACGGUUCUGACGGUGAGGGACGAAAGCCAGGGGAGCGAUCCGGAUUAGAUAUCGAGAUUUCCGUCUUUUGAUUUAGAUUCAUUUGAUCGUAUUAAUAUCUACUACGUGGAUCUGAAAUUAUCGGAAAUAAUGAACUCGACUAAUUACCCGAGUAGUCCUGGCCGUAAACGCUGCGAGCUAGGUGUUGCAUAUUCUUCAUGAAUAUGCAGUGUCGAAGCGAAGGUGUUAAGCUCGCCGCCUGGGAAGUAUGGUCGCAAGACUGAAACUUAAAGGAAUUGG